rnacentral:rRNA from 1 species
GAGAGAAGCUUGCUUCUCUCUGAUUUAGCGGCGGACGGGUGAGUAACACGUGGGUAACCUGCCUUGUAGACUGGGAUAACUUCGGGAAACCGGAGCUAAUACCGGAUAAUACUUUUGAACUCAUGUUCGGAAGUUGAAAGAUGGUUUCGGCUAUCACUAUAAGAUGGACCCGCGGCGCAUUGGCUAGUUGGUGAGGUAAUGGCUCACCAAGGCAACGAUGCGUAGCCGACCUGAGAGGGUGAUCGGCCACACUGGGACUGAGACACGGCCCAGACUCCUACGGGAGGCAGCAGUAGGGAAUCUUCCACAAUGGACGAAAGUCUGAUGGAGCAACGCCGCGUGAGUGAUGAAGGAUUUCGGUUCGUAAAACUCUGUUGUAAGGGAAGAACAAGUAGCGUAGUAACUGGCGUUACCUUGACGGUACCUUAUUAGAAGGCCACGGCUAACUACGUGCCAGCAGCCGCGGUAAUACGUAGGUGGCAAGCGUUGUCCGGAAUUAUUGGGCGUAAAGCGCGCGCAGGUGGUUCCUUAAGUCUGAUGUGAAAGCCCCCGGCUCAACCGGGGAGGG